ACCUCCUCCUCUGUUGCCACACGCUAGAUCCCCCAUCCACAGCCGGCACUCUCUGGUGGCCGCCCCUCCCAUUCGUCACCAUUGUCGGCGGACACGCAGGCCCAUGCUCUUCCCCGCCCCGCCCCUUCUUCAUAUCCGAUUCCCGAAGUGCUCGAGGAGGCGCUCGAGCUCGACAUGCUCGCCGGCGACACCGGGGCCCUCCCUCCUCCUGAUGCACUCUCCGUCGCCGCCAUGAGCGUCUCCACCUUCUCCCGCGCGCCAUGAAUCCUCCCUCUCCCCUGCUGGAGACGCUAUCAAGUCUGGAGCAGGAGCAGCCGCUGCUCGCGCCCUCCAGUUCCUUCUUUCCAUGGAUGACCACGAAGACCUCCGCGUCAUGUGCUGCUGCUCGGGGCCAUCCCUAUGCUUCUCCUCGCUCGUACGGGUCCAGGGUUAGCUGCUCAGGGGCCAUAGUGUGUUCCGUGUGGCGCUGCCUUCGCGGCCACCGCGGUUGUUGUGUCUCGUGUAUCACGGCAGCCAAUGGGGUUUGGAAGGUCUGAGACUGGAGGUCCCUGCUCGCCAACUCACAGACGGUUGUUCUCCGACCAGUUAAAAAUGAAUUUUCUGAAGGAGAAGGAGGUGCCGAAAGGGGAUGGAAGCAACAAGUCUGAAUCGAAGAGUAUGUUUUGAUUCUGAGAUGCAUUGCACAGUAUUUUUAUUGUUCUAAGAAAUCCAUGUAGUUGUCUAUGGAGCAUUUCCUUGAAGUGAUGGUUGGGCAUAUUUGUUUACUAAUUCAAACUUCCAGAUUACCUUAGUCGGCAACUCCAAAUAUUUCUUAGAUGUCUAACCGCAAGCAUUGUACUGCAAAAAUAUAUAUACUAAACCGGUUCAUGAUAGAUCAACCAAAUCUCGUUGAUGCUCUCACCUAUUAGGAUAUGUACAUGAAAAGAAGGAUAUGCUAAAUCUGCUUAGUCCCAACAAACAAUCAUUCAAAUGCACCAUUUUACGCUCUGGAAGCAGGAAGUGCAACUUCUUUAGUCUUUAGAAUUAGAAUGGAUCAGGUGUACUCCAGAUGUUUUCAGUUUUAAAUAAUUAUGCACACAAGAGUGCAUUGCGAAAUAGCAAUAAAAAGUUGGAUUUUGACUGGUACCGAAAAGGAUUAGACCUCCGAAGAAACAAUUCGCUGUUGCUGACUCAGACAGAGUUGUGCUGCACUACGUCGAUCUCGCCGUCAUCGAAGUCGUUGAUGGACAUGCCCAUAUCUUGCCGCCUGCAUGGCAUGUGUAGUGACCAUAUGGACAUGUAGCUUAUCCUAUUGCUCAAAGGAUACAUAUCAUCUUUAUGUGUUUCCUGAACUGGUCGGAUUAGUAGUGAUGUUUGCAUCUCCUCCCUCUUCCUACUCGACCACCACUUUCUUCUACGAACUGAUAGCAUGUCCUGCCAUGAGGAAUUUGAAGCAGUCAGAAGACAUAAGAGCUGGGUCCUAAACUAUGUUAAGGCCAUGCUGAUGUGUAAGAGUUUGCGGGUGACAUCCUCCAUGUCAAUCAUAUUCCCUCCAACAUCCUUCAGGCCAUGGCGACCAGGUAAUGCUAACAGCUCAGUUGGAUAAAGGUUCCUUAUGUUUUGCGAUUUAGUCGAGUUGGGUUACUCUAUUGUGUGGCUCACGUCGGGGUUGAGUAGAGUUAAUCUUGCCUAUGCUAGUGCUAGCCUGCUGGAUUUGGGUGAUAUCCAAAGAUACAUUUAAACUUACACUAUAAAUUAUAACUUGCAAACAAAUUUCCUUAGAGGGGAAUUAUAACAUGCAAGCACUACAAGUUCAGUGUAUUAUUAUUAGUACUGCCUAGCAAAUUAGCAAUCCAGUUCAUUCAUAAAUAAGAUUUCAACACACCAUUGGUAUAAAAUAUCGUACAUAGUUCCGAGGUCUACAUGCCUCGCCUGAUCCUGAAUUUGACCCAUAAAUAUAUUUCAGAGACACAACUGUAAAUAUAUUAAGUAAGAGCAAUUACCAGAGGUGUGCGUGUUCCUAAUGGUCUUGAAAAUCUAAUAAAUUUGCAUACGCUACAAGCAUUGGAAUUACAGGAUGAGUCUCUUAGACAUUUAGGGGCGCUGAGGCAACUAAGAAGCUUGAGGUUAUGGAAUGUGAAGGGAAUCUGCAGUGGACGCAUCAGUGAGUCUUUGUUUCAGAUGCAAUCUUUGUCCGACUUAUCCGUGAGUGCAAGCGAUGAAAACGAGGUUCUAUUGUUGAAUGUCCUCCUGCCAAACCUGCAAAAGCUAUGUUUGAGGGGCCGUCUAGCGGAAGGGGCGUUGGAGGAGUCUCCUCUCUUCCAAGCUGCUGGGGGACAGAACUUGCAUGAAUUGGUUCUGUCUUGGUCACAGUUGAGAGAAGACCCCCCUGCCAUCUCUUUCUUGUUUGUCAAACUUAACAUUUCUAGAUUUCACCAAAGCAUAUAAUGGAGAGCAGCUGGCAUUUUUCACGGGGUGGUUUUCAAAGGUAAAGAUUCUCUAUCUAAUAGACCUGCCUAAUCUGAAUCAGCUACAAAUACAACAAGGUGCCAUGGCAAGCCUGGAAAAAUUAUACUUGAUCAACCUCAGCAGCUUGAUGGAGGUCUCACCUGGCAUUGAGUUCCUCGUGCCCCUACAGCGUCUAGUCUUCUACGAAAUCAGCAAUGAAUUCUUGAUGCUGUUGCGCCAAUUUUCGGCAAUUGAAGGGACACAAUGGCAGCAUACUCUCCGAUGUUGACUUGCCAUAGUGGUCGGCAAUGUAUACAUACGUCACCUGCUGGAAGGAAGAAACAAGCUUCACUACAUGUACAACCAGUGUUUCCUCUGUUGCUGAUCUACUAUACCAUCCGGGUUUCCUCUGAUGUUUCAAGAAGCACUACGGGACCCUUUGCUGCUACUUCCACCUCCACCUACAAAAGCAUCCUGCUACUAUUGGUGUUGGUGUGCUUUUGCUUGUCAUGAUAUUUGCCUAUUGAUUGUUUCAAACUGUGGCUUUUAAAACGCUUAUUGUAAGACUGAGACUGGGUCGUGUUUUCAUAUUCAGGAUGUUUGUAUUUUGCAUUACCUGUUUGCAUUUGUGUGUGCUAGUUGUGAACUAUUCCCUCUGUUCACAAAUUGGAUGUAUAUAUUAUAGACACGAUUUAGCGUGUUUGUUCA